CCACACUGGCAACAAAAGUAGCUUUUCACCCCAGAUGGAAUUUGAACCCACAAUCCCUGGCUUAGGAAGCCAAUGCCUUACCCAUUA